GGCAGAUACACAAAGAAAUAAUCAAUUCAUUGAUUGAUUUUUCCAUUUCAGAGACAAACAUUUUUCUCACUAUUUAGAUUUAUUCCCAUCCCCCCUACCCUAAAAAAACUUUAAAUUUCAAAAGAAAUUAGAUUGUCUUAGCUUUAGUUCCAUAAUGUGACGGUUUCUGUUUUCACCGCGGAUGCUAAUUCUCUCCGGCUAAAAUGAUCUUUACAGAUGAAGCAAUCAAAUGCUUCUCCAUUAAGCUGUAGUGGUUCUGGUGCUUACAGUGUCCCUUUAAAUUGGUUUGUUGCCCUACGUGUGCCUGGAACGUUCUUUCCAGAGUCGUACUGUUGUUUGUGCGUCCACAAAUUUAGUGAUGUAUUUCCGACCAUUUAAAGCUGUAGUGGAGUCCUUUAUUUUGCGAGAUUUUCUUUGGCUGUGGUUCUGGUGGCUCCUUCUGGUAUUGCUGAUCCGUUUGUCAUUUAUUUCCUCACAUCCUGGCUUUUAUUUUUUCUCCUUUUUCUCUUCAGUUGUCCAGUUGUUUGGAUAUAAAAUCUCCAUUCC